AUUAAACGCUGGCGGCAUGCCUUACACAUGCAAGUCGAACGGCAGCACGGGGGCAACCCUGGUGGCGAGUGGCGGACGGGUGAGUAAAGCAUCGGAACGUAUCCUGGAGUGGGGGGAUAACGUAGCGAAAGUUACGCUAAUACCGCAUAUUCUGUGAGCAGGAAAGCAGGGGAUCGCAAGACCUUGCGCUCUGGGAGCGGCCGAUGUCGGAUUAGCUAGUUGGUGGGGUAAAGGCCUACCAAGGCGACGAUCCGUAGCGGGUCUGAGAGGAUGAUCCGCCACACUGGGACUGAGACACGGCCCAGACUCCUACGGGAGGCAGCAGUGGGGAAUUUUGGACAAUGGGCGGAAGCCUGAUCCAGCCAUGCCGCGUGAGUGAAGAAGGCCUUCGGGUUGUAAAGG
rnacentral:rRNA from 1 species